AGUGAACGCUGGCGGUAGGCCUAACACAUGCAAGUCGAACGGCAGCACAGUAAGAGCUUGCUCUUACGGGUGGCGAGUGGCGGACGGGUGAGGAAUACAUCGGAAUCUACUUUUUCGUGGGGGAUAACGUAGGGAAACUUACGCUAAUACCGCAUACGACCUACGGGUGAAAGCAGGGGAUCUUCGGACCUUGCGCGAUUGAAUGAGCCGAUGUCGGAUUAGCUAGUUGGCGGGGUAAAGGCCCACCAAGGCGACGAUCCGUAGCUGGUCUGAGAGGAUGAUCAGCCACACUGGAACUGAGACACGGUCCAGACUCCUACGGGAGGCAGCAGUGAGGAAUAUUGGACAAUGGGCGCAAGCCUGAUCCAGCCAUACCGCGUGGGUGAAGAAGGCCUUCGGGUUGUAAAGCCCUUUUGUUGGGAAAGAAAAGCAGCAGGUUAAUACCCCGCUGUUCUGACGGUGCCCAAAGAAUAAGCACCGGCUAACUUCGUG
rnacentral:rRNA from 1 species